UGGGACUCCUCUGGAACACCCACGAAAGGCAUACAACUGAGAAGAACUGAAGAAUGGAGUAUAAAAUAUAGCAGCUGCGAGACAGACAUGAGGAUGCUGACAACUGUGUUUUGUGCCACCUGGAGGAUUUGGAGGAUGAGAUUAACGUAGAAACAAACGUAAAGAGAUACUGCGUGGGAGAAGGUGUGGGAAGGAAGGAAAGAGAAGAGGGAAGGAGACCUGAAGCUAUUUGAGUCCACGGCUUCAAGUGACCCUGAGGAUAUAAAGCGACAGAGGAAAGAAGAGUGCUGUGAUAGGCAGCUGCUCAAUCUGGCCCAAAGGGCGAGCUGUGCCCUCCCCAAGCUGCAGAAGUUCCAUACAUCAAAGGACGAGGAUGGAAAUACUUUUCAUUAAACUUUGGUGUUGUACUUCUUCCUUUCUUCUUACCUAGACAUGAUAAAUCACUAAGGGA